UACGUAGGGUGCAAGCGUUAAUCGGAAUUACUGGGCGUAAAGCGUGCGCAGGCGGUUAUGUAAGACAGAUGUGAAAUCCCCGGGCUCACCUGGGAACUGCAUUUGUGACUGCAUAGCUAGAGUACGGUAGAGGGGGAGUGGAAUUCGCGUGUAGCAGUGAAAUGCGUAGAUAUGACGGAGGAACACCGAUGGACGGAAGGCAAUCCCCGUGGACCUGGUACUGGACGCUACAUGGACACCGGAAAGGCGUGGGGAAGCAAACG
rnacentral:rRNA from 1 species